UACGUAGGGCGCGAGCGUUGUCCGGAAUUAUUGGGCGUAAAGAGCUCGUAGGCGGUUUGUCGCGUCGGUUGUGAAAACCCAAGGCUCAACCUUGGGCCUGCAAUCGAUACGGGCAGACUAGAGUACUGCAGGGGAGACUGGAAUUCCUGGUGUAGCGGUGGAAUGCGCAGAUAUCAGGAGGAACACCGGUGGCGAAGGCGGGUCUCUGGGCAGUAACUGACGCUGAGGAGCGAAAGCUAGGGGAGCAAACAGG
rnacentral:rRNA from 1 species